rnacentral:rRNA from 1 species
CCUACGGGUGGCAGCAGUGGGGAAUAUUGGACAAUGGGCGAAAGCCUGAUCCAGCCAUGCCGCGUGUGUGAAGAAGGCCUUCGGGUUGUAAAGCACUUUCAGUGGGGAAGAAAGCCUUGGGGCUAAUACCCUCGAGGAAGGACAUCACCCACAGAAGAAGCACCGGCUAACUCCGUGCCAGCAGCCGCGGUAAUACGGAGGGUGCGAGCGUUAAUCGGAAUUACUGGGCGUAAAGCGCGCGUAGGCGGUCUGAUAAGCCGGUUGUGAAAGCCCCGGGCUCAACCUGGGAACGGCAUCCGGAACUGUCAGGCUAGAGUGCAGGAGAGGAAGGUAGAAUUCCCGGUGUAGCGGUGAAAUGCGUAGAGAUCGGGAGGAAUACCAGUGGCGAAGGCGGCCUUCUGGACUGACACUGACGCUGAGGUGCGAAAGCGUGGGUAGCAAACAGGAUUAGAUACCCGGGUAAUC